rnacentral:rRNA from 1 species
GACGAACGCUGGCGGCGUGCUUAACACAUGCAAGUCGAACGGAAAGGCCCUGCUUUUGUGGGGUGCUCGAGUGGCGAACGGGUGAGUAACACGUGAGUAACCUGCCCUUGACUUUGGGAUAACUUCAGGAAACUGGGGCUAAUACCGGUUAGGAGCUCCUGCUGCAUGGUGGGGGUUGGAAAGUUUCGGCGGUUGGGGAUGGACUCGCGGCUUAUCAGCUUGUUGGUGGGGUAAUGGCUUACCAAGGCUUUGACGGGUAGCCGGCCUGAGAGGGUGACCGGCCACAUUGGGACUGAGAUACGGCCCAGACUCCUACGGGAGGCAGCAGUGGGGAAUAUUGCACAAUGGGCGGAAGCCUGAUGCAGCAACGCCGCGUGCGGGAUGACGGCCUUCGGGUUGUAAACCGCUUUCGCCUGUGACGAAGCGUGAGUGACGGUAAUGGGUAAAGAAGCACCGGCUAACUACGUG